GUGCUUUUACUGAACGUUGCGACA
rnacentral:siRNA from 1 species